ensembl:snoRNA SNORD116 Small nucleolar RNA SNORD116
GGAUUGAUGAUGGCACACUCACAUGCAUUCCCUGGACAAUCUGAACAAAAUGAGUGAGAAAUUGAUACCAUCUCCUCAUUGAAAUGAGGUCU